rnacentral:sRNA from 1 species
UGACCUGAGAUGCCAAUGGAAGCAAUAACUAGAUUGUGGAUCGCAUGUCUUACAUCUACAUAGCCAAUACCAGCCUGAAUCCUGCUGUUUGCUGGCGCAAUUUGUGCAGUUGACAGUUCCACCAGAAAACGCUUCAUCUUGUACUCUCGACACAAUAGAUGUGCCAACACGAUUGCUUCUUCUCUUCCCUUAUGGGCGUCAGAUUCUGUUUUAGCUAGACUAAUGAUUAGGCCGAGCGUCUCUUACAUCAAUCAAGCGGCCGCAACCUCAAUCAAUUUUUUUCUGCAAAAAUUGUCCUCUUGAUGCCCCAGGACGAACAGAAAUUCGUUUGCCAGCACGCAAAACACACCACCUCUCUUACUUCCAGUCUCUUUCCCCCCGAAUCCGGAGGCAGAGUUGCGGCCAUGGACAGUGAAACUUGUGCUUCAAGUGCAACAAUAUACCCAGUAGAAUCCUCAGGGGCAAGUUGGAUUUCACAGCCUCCCCUGGGCUUUGCGGUACAUGGCACUCUGUCGAAGCGGACAACAACUGGAAAGGACAUUCGUUUUGAGCAAUAUUCGAUUUUGAGCAUCGGUAAAUUCUGGCGACUCUAGAACGAUCGGGGACCAAAUCCCCGAUCUGCACUUGAAAUUGCUCUGUUGGAAAGCUAAUCUAACAGAAUAAUCCGUCAAAGGCGAGCGCCUCAACCUUUCGGUGUCAAUAUAUAUCGAUCGAGACAAGCAGGCAUUUAGGAACAUGUUUUGACAUAGUAGUCAAGUCAGUCAGUCAGGCAACCCAGACAUGAGCUCAGUUCACUUUUAUCCCGUAGCGCAUGACAGAUGUGGGUUUACUAUGUAGUUAAAUGAUUAUCCUCGUUCGCUUGGCUUUGGUUAUUUUUACUGUUGUAUUUGUAUAUUUAUAGCAUUCCAAAUCUCGCUGCCCAACGGCCGCAACCACGUCACUUAGCGCCACCGCUUGAUUCCGCCGUGUGUUCGAAAUCCCCAUUUCUCCCGGCCACUCGACCUCUGGUUGUUCAAACGACCCUGAGAAAUCCCAGAUACCCAGAUACCCAGAUACCCAGAUUACCCCUCCGGUUUCCCAUUCUACUCCCCUUCUCUGAUAUACUAUCUGCCUCGGCCGACUGGAUCUUUUGAUUGGACUCGGACUUCUUGGAUUCCGGACUCUGGCCUUUGGACGCUGUCUUUGCUCUCUCGCCCCCGCCGGACCUCAAAGCUUCAAGGACUGUGGACUUCUGCCAGUAUAGAUAUAACUACGAUAAUUAGCUAGCUUAGUUGUUGUCAUAGUCUCAAAAAGAAACAAGAUACAAUUCAGAAUUUUCUGCAGCAAGCCAUCCCUCUUCUCUCGCUCCAUCCAUCCAUCCAUCCAUCCAUCGUCCUUCAAAAGGAAGGGAAAGAAAACGUGCCUUUUCUCUUAAGAUAUCCCCCUCCUCUCCCCUUCCCCCAAUCCCCUCUGGAAGAGGGAAAAUAGCGAAAAGGAGGACCUCAGGCAGAAUAUAGAAACCAUGUCUUCUUCAGUGCUGCAUCAUUGUACGUAUUGCGGACAUGAUUCCGAGAUUUCAAACUCCCUGGCUGCCUUCGCUGAGAACCCUUACUGCCGUCAGUGCGGCCUAUCCGCUGCGGAGGGCGAUUCCAAAAUGCAAGACGACCUAGCCAUCCUCUUCGCUCGUCAGAUGAGCGUGGCAGGCAUCCCCAGUCCAAAUCAAAAGCUCGCGAGCCCUCCGCAAUCAAUGGUACCUGCAGUUAUGUCCCCGACCCCUGAUAUGUCCCCCUCUCCUCCUCCCACUCCUUCCCCCUCCAUCUCCCGCCCAAUAGCCUACAACAUAUCUCAGCAUUACCAUCACUCCGCACACCAGCUCCCUGGCUCAGGAGGCUGGUCAAAGACGCUUUCUGCAACCCUGCACGACAUGCAGCAAGCCGGAAUCUCAGCGGAAGAAAUACUGUUCCAACACAACGUGGACCCGACUGCCCUCUUCCCGUCGCAGCUGACCCUCUUCGCGCAUGCAGAUGUCGAGCAGAAGACGCGUCUAAUUGAGCUAUGGCAGAUUUCGCGACCGAAUGUCCGGAAAGCGAAUCCAUUUGACAGCGGCAUCCCUACUUCAUCGUCUUCCUUGCCGAGUCGCAUGCAAUCUGCCAGGGACACCAUGAUCGACGUGGACUGUAUGGAUCAGGAUGCGCGGAGCACAACUGGGCUGGAUGACAGUCAACACGCAGAACCGUAUGUCAUGUCCGGCUAUGAGGCGCUCGCGCAGCGCGAAUAUGACGCAUCAGCGGCCAGGAGUGCGUGCGGACAUGGGUUUGCAGAGGCGUCACAGUCCUCUGUAGCUGCUGCUGCUGCUGCUGCCACGACGUCAACUUCCUCGUCGUACAAGCCGGCCGUUGACCCCGUGUACAAGGGGCAUGGUUUGUGGGAUGUGCAAGGCCAGCAACAGGGACAUGGACAAGGUGGGUCGGAGGCAGUGCUGCUACUUCAGCCGAUGGAAAAUCAGUACGGCGCGUUCGAGCAGCGGAAUAAUUCCAUGUAUCUGGGUUGUGGAAUUGCGCGGGCGCAUUGGCUGGAUGAUCGGGAGAUGUUGUAGUUAGUUAGAUAGGAUCCUUUUUUUCUUCUGUUUUUUAUUUUAUUUUAUUUCAUUUCUUUUUGAUUGAUAGAAACCAGUUGGGGUUUUCGUGCUCUUUUGGGGCAUCAUUCCCCAUUCCCCAUUCCCCUUUUUCCUUUUUCCAUUCUCUUUUUAUCUGUCGACGUCUCCAGUUCGAAGUUCGAUCCCAUAAACGGACUGUAGGGGCGAUUUUGAAUGGUUAUACCUUUCUCACGGCGAUACGCUUGACGAAUUUUGCUUCAUUUAGUUCCUUUUGUUAUACUGUCCAUUUUCACCCAUGUAGCACCUGGGCAUUCCAUCUGUUUUCCUUAAUUUUAGUGUUUGUUUUCAUCAUCUGAUUUUAUUUUGCACUCUUUUCCUAAGUCCCCUGUCCUACAUCACAGCCCAAGAUACUGGUAUGUCAACUAGAUAUGAUGAGAA